rnacentral:lncRNA from 10 species
GUUUGCUCAAGGUACAAAAGCAGCAAAAUAUGAUCUUUUAAUGAUAAGAACUGGGUGACAGGACUAACUUUGAAAGACUUCUCAGACAUUACAAACUGGAGUUUCAGCUGAGCCCAGCAUUCUAUGAAAAAUCCCAAUUUAGUGAUAAUUCCACUGGGACCAAGGCCAGAUCUACUGCUGCAUUGAAGGCAUGAAAAUCCAUAUCAGCCUGACCCACCGAGGACAGAGAAAAGUCUGCAUACAUUAUGUAAUUACACACCUGAAGAUAGUAUGUCAAGGGUUAGAUGGCUGAAGAGAUGAGGAAAGAUUGGAAACACGGGAAGGAGAAGGAAGCUGCUCUGAAGGCUUGCUGUAUCAUUCUGAGUGGUAACUCAGCAGCACCCACAUGGCAUGGCCUCCUCAAGUCAUCAGCAGAAGGGACAGGACUACACCAAGCCAUGAGUCCACGAGGGAAAGGGCCGUGCAUGCAUGUCCACUGUUGGAUCUCCAGGGCCUGGCACUCCAAUAUCUGAUACACAGAAGUUGCUCAAUACAUAUUUGUGGAAGGAAGAAAAGAAAGUGGAAUGGAAGACAGGCAUGAAUGAAGUAAGGAAGGGAGUGAAUGUCUAAUAUAUAAGGCAUGUAAAUAUUUCCAAUCAUUCCAAACAUCUAGGUUAAUGUAUAACAAAGACACUAUAAUCAAUUAUAUAAUACUAACCAAGCAAAAUUUUAAAAAUACAGAGACUGGGUGCUGGGGCUCAUACCUGUAAGCCCAGCACUUUGGGAGGCCUAGGCAGGAGGAUCACUUGAGGCUAGGAGUUAGAGACCAGCUUGGACAACAUAGAGAGACCCUGUCUCUACCAAAGAUUAAAAUAAACAUAUUAGCCAGGCAUGGUGGUGCUUGCUUUUAGUCCCAGCUAUUGGGGAGGCUGAGGUGGGAGGAGUUCUUGAGCCCAGGAGUUCCAGGCUACAGUGGGCUAUGAUCACACCACUGCACUCCAGCCUGGCCAACAGAGCAAAAUCUUGUCUCUAAAAAAAAUGUUUAAAUACAUAAUUUCAGGAAAUCCCCUA